CAAGUCGAACGAGCUUCAGGUAGCAAUAUCUGGAGCAAGUGGCGAAAGGGGCAGUAAUGCAUGGGUAAUCUACCUCGGGGACGUGGAUAGCCAGCCUAACGGUUGGGUAAUACACGGCGAUUCGGCGGGGGGGCAUCUCUCUGCCGGGAAAUGAAUUUCGCCUCGGGAGGAGCUCAUGUCGUAUUAGCUUGUUGGCGGGGUAACGGCCCACCAAGGCAAAGAUGCGUAGCGGGUGUGAGAGCACGACCCGCGCCACUGGCACUGAGACACUGGCCAGACACCUACGGGUGGCUGCAGUCGAGGAUCUUCGGCAAUGAGCGCAAGCUUGACCGAGCGACGCCGCGUGUGCGACGAAGGCCUUCGGGUUGUAAAGCACUGUCGAGGGGGAGGAAAGCCCGAAAGGGUCUGACCUAUCCCUGGAGGAAGCACGGGCUAAGUUCGUGCCAGCAGCCGCGGUAAGACGAACCGUGCGAACGUUGUUCGGAAUCACUGGGCUUAAAGGGCGCGUAGGCGGGCAUUAAAGUCAGGGGUGAAAUCCCCCAGCUUAACUGGGGAACUGCCUUUGAUACUGAAUGUCUCGAGUAAGGUAGGGGCAUGCGGAACUGAUGGUGGAGCGGUGAAAUGUGUUGAUAUCAUCAGGAACUCCGGUGGCGAAGGCGGCAUGCUGGACCUUCACUGACGCUGAGGCGCGAAAGCUAGGGUAGCGAACGGGAUUAGAUACCCCGGUAGUCCUAGCCCUAAACGAUGAGUACUAGGUUGUAGCCUUGACAUGGGGUUACAGCCGGAGCAAAAGUGCUAAGUACUCCGCCUGGGGAGUAUGGUCGCAAGGCUGAAACUCAAAGGAAUU
rnacentral:rRNA from 1 species